CCAUAGCUCAACUGGAUAGAGCGCUAGACUACGGAUCUAGAGGUUGGGGGUUCGAAUCCCUUUGG
rnacentral:tRNA from 2 species